AGUAGAGAUUUCGAAGUUGCAAAACACAAAAUGAGCAUCGUGGGUGGAGUCGAGUUGAGUUGGGAUUCAACAGACAAAUAUUAAACUUAAAACUCCGUACGCCGAAGCUCUCGAACUCAACGACCCAACCCUUGCUUUGUCUAUUACUUGGAAUCCACUGCUAGUACAUUUUAGACAAUGACGACUACACAACUUAAUGGUGGUAGACUUUCUAGUGGACUUAGAACUAGAAGUAGACAGCAGAAUUCAGUAUGCAAAGCAAUUGCAUCAAGGUUUCAAUUGCAACAAGGUGGAGUUCGUGAUUCUUGUGUAGCGUUAGAUAGAUAUUGCCGCCUGUCCUUGGAGCAUAAAAGUAGUGUGCCAUUCUUGGUUACUCGCGGUAGAAAUUCUAAAUCUCCUGUGGUUUAUAAUCAACUGAAUUCUGAUUUGGGUGUGGAUUCUGCCGAUGUGGAGGAGAGGUUUAAUUUGAAAGAUGAGAGUGGUUUCAAUCAUUUGUCCAUAAAGCAUCCUGAGUUUGAAAGAAUUCCUAUCAGUGACUAUCUAGAUUCCAAUCGUGAGGUUGACAAAACGCAUUUUGUAGAUGUCAAGCGUGAGCUUACAAUGCUUACUUUGCCUGCAAUUGCUGGACAGGCUUUUGAUCCCUUAGCACAGCUGAUGGAGACUGCUUAUAUUGGUAAACUAGGUUCUGUUGAGUUGGCUUCUGCUGGUGUUUCUAUAUCCAUCUUUAAUAUUAUCUCGAAGAUAUUUAAUUUUCCUCUGCUCAGUGUUGCUACUUCUUUUGUUGCUGAGGAAGUUUCAAGUAAUGCAGUUAAGGAUUCAACAUCAGGAGGCAGUGGUAAUAGAUUACCUUCAACUGAGAUAACUGAAAGAAAGCAGUUAGCCUCAGUGUCAACGGCUUUACUGUUAGCAGUUGGGAUUGGAAUCUUUGAGGCCUUAGCACUAUCUUUGGGUUCUGGACCGUUUCUAAACUUGAUGGGUGUAACAUCAGCAUCUGAGAUGUUUGCUCCAGCUCAAAGAUUUCUGAUGCUCAGAGCCCUUGGAGCUCCAGCAGUAGUGGUUUCCUUGGCUCUUAAUGGCAUCUUUCGUGGCUUUAAAGAUACAAAGACUCCUUUAAUAUGUCUAGGUCUUGGUAACUCGUUUGCUGUAUUCUUGUUUCCCCUAUUUAUAAAUUAUUGUCAGUUGGGUAUAAGCGGAGCUGCGAUGUCAACUGUGGUGUCUCAGUACAUCAUUGCUGCUGUGAUGAUCUGGUAUUUGAACAAGAAAGUUGUGUUACUGCUUCCAAAGAUGGGAGAUCUGAAAUUUGGAGGCUAUAUAAAAUCUGGUGGCUUUCUUUUAGGAAGAACUCUUGCUGUUCUGGUAACAAUGACGUUGGGGACGUCCAUGGCUGCUCGCCAGGGGUCAGAUGCUAUGGCUGCACAUCAAAUAUGCAUGCAAGUCUGGUUGGCUGUAUCUCUUCUAACUGAUGCUCUAGCUGCAUCUGGUCAGGCCCUGAUUGCAAGUUAUGUAUCUAAAGGUGACUUCAAGACUGUCCAACAAGUUACUAGUUUUGUGUUAAAGAUAGGAGUAGUCACAGGUGUUUCCUUGGCUGCAAUUUUGGGGCUAUCUUUUGGAUCAUUGGCCUCUUUGUUCACCAAAGAUCCUAAAGUUUUAGGAAUAGUUAGAACUGGAAUAUUGUUUAUCAGUGCCACUCAACCGAUUACUGCACUGGCUUUUAUUUUUGAUGGCCUCCAUUAUGGCAUUUCUGACUUUCCAUAUGCUGCUUGUUCUAUGAUGUUGGUUGGGUCAAUUGCUUCUACAUUUCUUCUUUAUGCUCCUCGGGUUUUUGGUCUUCCUGGGGUGUGGUUAGGCUUGGCACUCUUUAUGGCCUUGCGUAUGGUGGCUGGAUUUGUCAGGUUACUAUCAAAAACUGGUCCGUGGUGGUUCCUCCACACUGAUUUAGAGAAAGCCAUGUUUUGAGUAGGAAUAUAUUGGUGCUUACUACCACAUUAUUUGACUGCAAGCUCAUUACUUUUUUGGUUUUUGUUUUCCUUUAUUCACCUUUUGUGACAGUUCUGCUGAUUCUAUCAGCUGGCCUGAAAUCAGAGCAAUCUGGGAAUGAAUAGAGGACAUCAAUUGUUGAGUUAGAAUAAUCUCAAAGAUAUCUUUCAGUGGAUUAGUUUUUUUUUUUGGUUGUUGAUAGAUCAAUUAAUUUACAAUGCGCAAUUCAUUGUAGCCUGUAGAUAUGUUAGGAAACCUUAAACCACAGGUUUUAUUGAUUUAUGUGAUUGAACAAAUUACUUCUGAAUAUUAGUUUUGUCAUCCCAAUUA